rnacentral:rRNA from 1 species
GAUGAACGCUGACAGAAUGCUUAACACAUGCAAGUCAUUGGCGAAGCUGCGCUUGCGCAGUCUAGCCAAGGCGGACGGGUGAGUAACGCGUAAGGAACUUGCCCUGCAGACAGGGAUAACAGACGGAAACGACUGAUAACACCUGGUAUUGUCAGGCUGGCGCAUGCCGGCCUGAUGAAAGGAGACGCUGCUGGAGAGCCUUGCGUCCUAUUAGCUAGUUGGUGGGGUAACGGCCCACCAAGGCGAUGAUAGGUAGCCGGCCUGAGAGGGUGAACGGCCACAAGGGGACUGAGAUACAGCCCUUACUCCUACGGGAGGCAGCAGUGGGGAAUAUUGGACAAUGGGGGCAACCCUGAUCCAGCAAUUCUGUGUGCACGAAGAAGGUUUUCGGAUUGUAAAGUGCUUUCAGCAGGGAAGAAGAAAGUGACGGUACCUGCAGAAGAAGCGACGGCUAAAUACGUG